rnacentral:lncRNA from 1 species
AUUAGUAUAAUAGUCUCAGGUCAUCGACAAAAUUCAAUAAUAAUUAUUUUGUUAACAUUACUAAAAAAAAACGAGUCUGUACUGUCGCCGUUGUGUUAUGAUGAUCGUACACUGACGUUGGUCAAUAUAUUUUGACAAUAUAUACGGACAGACGGAUUCAGUUUAUUUCAAAGUGGACGUAAUUCGAACAACUUUUACAUACCGCCGAGCGUAGCGAGUCGAACAAUAUUUUGAUUAUUUUUUGCUUUACAAAAUCGUUAAAUACAGGAAUCAAUAUAGUUUUGGCAACCAAAGGUGGGUCGGGGCGUGCAACCUAUACGUCAUCUAGAUUCGCCACUUAUCUUAUAAAGUGUAUACCGAAUUAAAAUAUUGUAAGAAAUGAGAAAACAGGGACACCCGGGAAAUCGGAUUAUGUGAGUUGGAUUAUGUUUAUUAUAAUAAAUGCCGAAUAUCAAGUUCUUUUUAUCGAUUUCUAUACAUUUUUUUCAAAUAUAUAUAAAAGUUAUAUAGCAAAAAUGAUAAGGCAGACAAAUAUACAAAUAAAUCGACUUGGCCGAUAUCCUAAUAAAACUUAUUGACCUUUAAUUACGAGUUUUUUUUUCAUUUCUUUGCGUUUUUACACGCCCGUCCCAAUUUUGACAGGACGUAUUAUUGUAUACACCCGUCUGUCCGUCCGUCCUUCCAUCCGUCCGUUCCUCCAUCUAUCAGUCAUUCGGUCCGUCCGUCUGUCCGUCUAUCUAUCCGUCUGUCCAGCAUAAACAUGUCGCACCGUAACUUCAGGACAGCUUAUCUUAAUAAAAAAACAACAGAUUAUUUAAAAAUGUCUAUCAACAUGAAAAGUUCAUACAAAUUCCAAGCGACAAACACCCGACCAUAGAGCAGAAAACAGC